rnacentral:tRNA from 1 species
AGAAAAGUAAGCUAAAUAUAAGCUAAUGGGUUCAUAUCCCAUCUAUAGAGUCUAAUAUCUCUUUUCUA